rnacentral:rRNA from 1 species
UACGUAGGGGGCAAGCGUUGUCCGGAUUUAUUGGGCGUAAAGAGCGUGUAGGCGGCUUGGAAGGUCAGCUGUGAAAACUCGAGGCUCAACCUCGAGACGUCGGUUGAAACCACCUGGCUAGAGUCCGGAAGAGGAGAGUGGAAUUCCCGGUGUAGCGGUGAAAUGCGCAGAUAUCGGGAAGAACACCCGUGGCGAAGGCGGCUCUCUGGGACGGUACUGACGCUGAGACGCGAAAGCUGGGGGGAGCGAACAGG